UACGGAGGGUGCAAGCGUUAUUCGGAUUUAUUGGGCGUAAAGGGCGCGUAGGCGGUCUUGUAAGUCAGGUGUGAAAGCCCGGGGCUCAACCCCGGAAGUGCAUUUGAUACUGCGAGACUUGAGUAUGGGAGGGGGAAGUGGAAUUCCUGGUGUAGAGGUGAAAUUCGUAGAUAUCAGGAGGAACACCGGUGGCGAAGGCGACUUCCUGGACCAAUACUGACGCUGAUGCGCGAAGGCGUGGGGAGCAAACAGGAUUAGAUACCCUGGUAGUCCACGCAGUAAACGGUGAGAACUAGGUGUAGCGGGUAUUGACCCCUGCUGUGCCGCAGUUAACGCAUUAAGUUCUCCGCCUGGGGAGUACGAUCGCAAGAUUAAA
rnacentral:rRNA from 1 species